UACAGAGGGUGCGAGCGUUGUCCGGAAUCACUGGGCGUAAAGGGCGCGUAGGUGGCGCUGCAAGUCGGUGGUGAAAGCUCGACGCUCAACGUCGAGUCGGCCAUCGAAACUGCAGGGCUCGAGCACUGUAGGGGCAGAUGGAAUUCCGGGUGUAGCGGUGGAAUGCGUAGAGAUCCGGAAGAACACCGGUGGCGAAGGCGGUCUGCUGGGCAGUAGCUGACACUGAGGCGCGACAGCGUGGGGAGCAACAGG
rnacentral:rRNA from 1 species